UACGGGGGGGGCAAGCGUUGUUCGGAAUUACUGGGCGUAAAGGGCUCGUAGGCGGCCAACUAAGUCAGACGUGAAAUCCCUCGGCUUAACCGGGGAACUGCGUCUGAUACUGGAUGGCUGGAGUUUGGGAGAGGGAUGCGGAAUUCCAGGUGUAGCGGUGAAAUGCGUAGAUAUCUGGAGGAACACCGGUGGCGAAGGCGGCAUCCUGGACCAAUACCGACGCUGAGGAGCGAAAGCCAGGGGAGCAAACGGG
rnacentral:rRNA from 1 species